GGCCUGGAAAGCUCUGUUGGUUAGAACGUGGUGCUGAUAACGCCAAGGUUGCUGGUUCGAUCCCUGUAUGGGCCA